GAUUUUUCCUUUCUUCAAUAUCAUUUGUAUGAGAUGAAAGGAUUAGCAUUGUUCUUGCACAAGGAUAACACGUAUAAAUUGAGAAAUGGUUCAACUUUUU